rnacentral:lncRNA from 1 species
GUGCCGGGUGCACCUCGCGAGCUAGCUGCCGCCCCGCCUGUGUCGCGGUCGUACCCUCCGCCCUCUGCGCCGAGAGCCGCUGCCGCCCGAGACCUUCGAGGGCUCCUCGCCCCUGCUUCCUGGGAGACCCUCUCCGCUGGGAGAGUCGCAGUCACGGAGCCGGGGGACACCUCCGGGCGUGGUGGAGCACAUCUGAGGGCCCAGCUACUCGGGAGCUGAGGCAGGAGGAUCCCUUAAGCCUGGGAAGUCAAGGCUGCAGUGAGCCGAGAUGGGUGCCACUUCACUCCAGCCUAGGCGACAGAGUGAGACUUGCAGAAGGAAAGAGAGAAAAGAAAUACAGUAACAGUUAAUAAAAUUCUUAACACACAUGUAAUAAUGUAUUUUACUCACACAUUAAAUAACAAGACUAAAGUUGC